rfam:Perkinsus marinus ATCC 50983 gcontig_1104296658640, whole genome shotgun sequence.
GGGCGUGUGGUGUAGAGGUAUCACGUUUACUUUGCAUGCAGAAGGCCCCGAGUCCAAUUCUCGGCACGUCCA